GCCAAGCCAUUUAACAAAGGCUUGUAACCUAUGUGGGGGCUUUAAGAUGGUUGGAGGUUGGCUCUUAGUAUUUGGUUGGGACUCUAAAGUUGUCUACUUGUUCGCCCAUUCCAAGAAGGGAGUUGGGCCUCGCAUUCUGGACGAAAGUCCAAAGUGUAAUGCUUUUAUACCAAAGGAAACUACGUGAGGCUGGCUUCACAGAGCAGCGUCACCUUCUACUCUCUUCGGUGGAUGGAUAACGUGCAAGUUCUUUAGAGCCCAAUGACACCAUGUACGAAGUUC
rfam:Cucumis melo, WGS project CAJI01000000 data, contig: 38692